rnacentral:rRNA from 1 species
GACGGGGGGGGCAAGUGUUCUUCGGAAUGACUGGGCGUAAAGGGCACGUAGGCGGUGAAUCGGGUUGAAAGUGAAAGUCGCCAAAAAGUGGCGGAAUGCUCUCGAAACCAAUUCACUUGAGUGAGACAGAGGAGAGUGGAAUUUCGUGUGUAGGGGUGAAAUCCGUAGAUAUCGGAAGGAACACCUGUGGCGAAAGCGGCUCACUGGACCAUUACUGACGCUGAUGCACGAAAGCUAGGGGAGCAAACAGG